CUGGAGUGCCCUGGCGCGAUCUCGGCUCACUGCAGGCUCCGCCCCUGGGGUUCACGCCAUUUUCCUGCCUCAGCCUCCCCAGUAGCUGGGACUACAGGAGCCCGCCACCUCGCCCGGCUAAUUUUUUGUAUUUUUAGUAGAGACGGGGUUUCACCGUGUUAGCCAGGAUGGUCUUGAUCUCCUGACCUCGUGAUCCGCGCGCCUCGGUCUCCCAAAAUGCUGGGAUUACAGGCGUGUGCCACCGCGCCUGGCCUCAUCUCUUAAUUCGAGUAAUUUUACAUAAGCAACAAUGGGGUAAGGAGGAGAAAAGAAAGAAGGAAAAAUUGGAAAGAUAAAUGGGGUCUUUCCAGUGAAGCCUCCAGGCCUCCAGACUGGAACUUAUACCACUGAUUCUUCUGAAUCUUAGGCCUUUGGACUUGGACUGGAACUAAACCAUCAGCUCUUCUUGUUCUACCACUUGCAGACUGUAUGUCUUGGGACAUGUCAGCCUCUGUAAUCACGCUCAAUUUUCCUACAUAAUUAAGAGUUUGGAAUUCGGGCAAUAUCAAGAACCACAUCUGUCCUGAAAUCAAUUAUCUCUGUUUGAAACACAAGAAAUAAGAAGACCAUUUUGAGAAGAACAGAGAGUAGCCUUAAGAAAAUCCCUGUCGCAAGCACUCUGGGAUUUGGACUCAAAUGCUAAUUAUACAACGUUGGUGGACCAGCCUUAAAACCAACAAUGAUUUGUAACAUUGAUUCUUUGGGAAAGGGCAUUCGGGAUCCCACAUCACCAUCUAACAAAUGAAUUUUUGUAAGAAAACCCAUUG
rnacentral:lncRNA from 1 species